rnacentral:rRNA from 1 species
AGAGUUUGAUCCUGGCUCAGGACGAACGCUGGCGGCGUGCUUAACACAUGCAAGUCGAACGAGAAUCGUAUGAGGGAGAUUUCGGUCAACUGAAUACGAGGACAGUGGCGGACGGGUGAGUAACGCGUGAGGAACCUGCCUUUCAGAGGGGGACAACAGUUGGAAACGACUGCUAAUACCGCAUGACACAUUGAGGCCGCAUGGCCUUAAUGUCAAAGAUUUAUCGCUGGAAGAUGGCCUCGCGUCUGAUUAGCUAGUUGGUGAGGUAACGGCCCACCAAGGCGACGAUCAGUAGCCGGACUGAGAGGUUGAACGGCCACAUUGGGACUGAGAUACGGCCCAGACUCCUACGGGAGGCAGCAGUGGGGAAUAUUGGGCAAUGGGCGCAAGCCUGACCCAGCAACGCCGCGUGAAGGAAGAAGGCUUUCGGGUUGUAAACUUCUUUUACCAGGGACGAAGGAUGUGACGGUACCUGGAGAAAAAGCCACGGCUAACUACGUGCCAGCAGCCGCGGUAAUACGUAGGUGGCAAGCGUUAUCCGGAUUUACUGGGUGUAAAGGGCGCGUAGGCGGGGAUGCAAGUCAGAUGUGAAAUCUAUGGGCUUAACCCAUAAACUGCAUUUGAAACUGUAUCUCUUGAGUGUCGGAGAGGUAGACGGAAUUCCUAGUGUAGCGGUGAAAUGCGUAGAUAUUAGGAGGAACACCAGUGGCGAAGGCGGCUUGCUGGGCUUUUACUGACGCUGAGGCUCGAAAGCGUGGGGAGCAAACAGGAUUAGAUACCCUGGUAGUCCACGCCGUAAACGAUGAUUACUAGGUGUGGGUAGAGACCCUAUCCGUGCCGGAGUUAACACAAUAAGUAAUCCACCUGGGGAGUACGGCCGCAAGGCUGAAACUCAAAGGAAUUAACGGGGGCCCGCACAAGCAGUGGAGUAUGUGGUUUAAUUCGAAGCAACGCGAAGAACCUUACCAGGUCUUGACAUCGAGUGACGAAUCUAGAGAUAGAUUUUUCCUUCGGGGCACAAAGACAGGUGGUGCAUGGUUGUCGUCAGCUCGUGUCGUGAGAUGUUGGGUUAAGUCCCGCAACGAGCGCAACCCUUGCUAUUAGUUGCUACGCAAGAGCACUCUAGCCGGACUGCCGUUGACAAAACGGAGGAAGGUGGGGACGACGUCAAAUCAUCAUGCCCUUUAUGUCCUGGGCUACACACGUACUACAAUGGCAGACAUACAGAGGGAAGCAAAGCAGCGAUGCGGAGCGAAACCCUAAAAGCUGUCUCAGUUCAGAUUGCAGGCUGCAACCCGCCUGCAUGAAGGUGGAAUUGCUAGUAAUCGCGGAUCAGCAUGCCGCGGUGAAUACGUUCCCGGGUCUUGCACACACCGCCCGUCA